AACGAACGCUGGCGGCAGGCCUAACACAUGCAAGUCGAGCGGACCUUUCGGGGUCAGCGGCGGACGGGUGAGUAACGCGUGGGAAUAUGCCCUUCUCUACGGAAUAGUCCUGGGAAACUGGGGGUAAUACCGUAUACGCCCUUUGGGGGAAAGAUUUAGCGGUGAAGGAUUAGCCCGCGUUGGAUUCGGUAGUUGGUGGGGUAAUGGCCUACCAAGCCGACGAUCCAUAGCUGGUUUGAGAGGAUGAUCAGCCACACUGGGACUGAGACACGGCCCAGACUCCUACGGGAGGCAGCAGUGGGGAAUCUUGACAAUGGGGGCAACCCUGAUCUAGCCAUGCCGCGUGAGUGAUGAAGGCCUUAGGGUUGUAAAGCUCUUUCAGCUGGGAAGAUAAUGACGGUACCAGCAGAAGAAGCCCCGGCUAACUCCGUG
rnacentral:rRNA from 1 species